GCUUAGAGGCAGCCACUCGUUCAAAGAGUGCGUAAUAGCUCACUGGUCGAGUGAUCUUGCGCGGAAAAUUUAACGGGGCUAAGCAUGUAACCGAAGCUUGGGAUUGCGCAAUGCGCAGUGGUAGGGGAGCGUCGUGUACGGGGUGAAGUACGAUCGAGAGGACGUGUGGACUGUACACGAGUGAGAAUGCCGGAAUGAGUAGCGAGAAUUAUGUGGGAAUCAUAAUGGCCGAAAAUCUAAGGUUUCUUGGGGAAGGUUCGUCCGCCCAAGGUAAGCCGGGAGCUAAGGCGAGGCCGAAAGGCGUAGUCGAUGCACAUACGGUUGAAAUUCCGUAGCCACCUUAUCGAUAAAAGCUGACACAUAGAGAUAGCCGAACCCGGGCGUUGGUUGACCCGGGCGAAAGGGACCGAACUACAGUAGGGAAGUCGGCGAUGCUCUGUGGCGAGAAAAGGCGAAGAUAGGGUGCCCGUACCGCAAACCGACACAGGUAGAUGAGGAGAGAAUCCUAAGGCCAACGGGAGAAGGGUUGUUAAGGAACUCGGCAAAUUGACCCCGUAACUUCGGGAUAAGGGGAGCCUCCUACGGGAGGCCGCAGUGAAUAGGCCCAAGCAACUGUUUACCAAAAACACAGGUCUCUGCUAAAUCGAAAGAUGACGUAUAGGGGCUGACGCCUGCCCGGUGCUGGAAGGUUAAGAGGAGGACUUAGCGCAAGCGAAGGUCUGAAUUUAAGCCCCAGUAAACGGCGGCCGUAACUAUAACGGUCCUAAGGUAGCGAAAUUCCUUGUCAGGUAAGUUCUGACCCGCACGAAUGGCGUAACGAUUUGGGCACUGUCUCAACAGCCCGCCCGGCGAAAUUGUAGUACCGGUGAAGAUGCCGGUUACCCGCAACUAGACGGAAAGACCCCAUGGAGCUUUACUGCAGCUUAAUACUGAGAUUCGGUAAUUCAUGUACAGGAUAGGUGGGAGACUUAGAAGCAGAGUCGUUAGGCGCUGUGGAGUCACCCUUGGGAUACCACCCUUGGAUUGCUGGGUUUCUAACCUGCGGCCAUGAAUCUGGUCGGGGGACACUGUUAGGCGGGCAGUUUGACUGGGGCGGUCGCCUCCUAAAAUGUAGCGGAGGCGCUCAAAGCUUGGCUCAGCAUGGAUGGAAAUCAUGCAAUGAGUGUAAACGUAUAAGCCAAGUUGACUGCGAGACCGACGGGUCGAGCAGGUACGAAAGUAGGAGUUAGUGAUCCGGUGGUAUGUGAGUGGAAAUGCCAUCGCUCAACGGAUAAAAGCUACCCUGGGGAUAACAGGCUGAUCUCCCCCAAGCGUCCACAGCGACGGGGAGGUUUGGCACCUCGAUGUCGGCUCGUCGCAUCCUGGGGCUGUAUUCGGUCCCAAGGGUUUGGCUGUUCGCCAAUUAAAGCGGCACGCGAGCUGGGUUCAGAACGUCGUGAGACAGUUCGGUCCCUAUCUGUUGCGGGCGUAAGAGAUUUGAAGGGAGCUGUCCUUAGUACGAGAGGACCGGGAUGGACUGACCGCUGGUGCACCAGUUGUUCUGCCAAGAGCAUAGCUGGGUAGCUACGUCGGGACGAGAUAAACGCUGAAGGCAUCUAAGCGUGAAACUCCCCCUAAGAUAAGAUCUCUCAUCCUUUAUGGAGUAAGGCUCGUCGUAGACUAUGACGUUGAUAGGUCAGAGGUGGAAGCGCCGUAAGGUGUGUAGCUGACUGAUACUAAUAAGCCGAGGGCUUGACCU
rnacentral:rRNA from 1 species